AUGAAAAAGAAAAUGUGUGAGACCGAUGUAGAGAAGCCUAAAACAGCCAUACAGGCAAAGCAAACCAGGAUUAAAGAGGCAGCCAGGGACCAGGUGUUACAAAACCUGAAGACUUCCCUGUCUCAGAAGAGGGCCCUGGACACACAAGAUCACCUCUACAAUUCUAAGAAUGAAUCUCCACAAUGUGUUCAUGGGGGAAAACGAGCAAAGAUUAACAAGGCAGCAAGACGUGUGCUUUUACCCCUGGAAUCCAGUCCAAGUUCUGAUAAUGCCACAUACAUAGGAAGUCCAGAACAGCAUGACCUUUUUCAAGACCAUGCCUCAGAUGAAGAAUUGGGUUUCUCCUCAACUCAGAGAAUGGCAAGUACAUUUAUAUUGAAUAUUAUAUUCUAAUGGUGAAAUUAUAUUAUAUUGAAAGAAUAGGUCAGGCAAAGGUCAGAGAUCUUACAACCAACUGCAUGGAAAACUUCAUCUCACAAUUGUUACAUAUCUUAUUUUCACAUAUAAACUCCUUUUGGCUGUCAUGUGCAUGCCUUUUAAGCAUAAUGUAUUUCAUUAACUUUUAUUUAAUAUAUUCAACAAUAUAAUCAUUUUCAAAAACCUUUCAUUAAUGUUUUGUCCCUCACGGUAGUGUGGAUUAGAAGAGUGUCCUUUAAACAUACUGUAUUUCCUUUGAGAAAUAAAGUAUAGAAGUCAAAAGCA
ensembl:lncRNA